GGGCCGUUAGCUCAAUCGGUAGAGCACUUGCCUCUUAAGCAAGGGGUUGCAGGUCCGAUUCCUGCACGGCCCA
rnacentral:tRNA from 2 species